rnacentral:rRNA from 1 species
GGAUCAUUACUGAGUUUACGCUCUACAACCCUUUGUGAACAUACCUAUAACUGUUGCUUCGGCGGGUAGGGUCUCCGUGACCCUCCCGGCCUCCCGCCCCCGGGCGGGUCGGCGCCCGCCGGAGGAUAACCAAACUCUGAUUUAACGACGUUUCUUCUGAGUGGUACAAGCAAAUAAUCAAAACUUUUAACAACGGAUCUCUUGGUUCUGGCAUCGAUGAAGAACGCAGCGAAAUGCGAUAAGUAAUGUGAAUUGCAGAAUUCAGUGAAUCAUCGAAUCUUUGAACGCACAUUGCGCCCGCCAGCAUUCUGGCGGGCAUGCCUGUUCGAGCGUCAUUUCAACCCUCAAGCUCUGCUUGGUGUUGGGGCCCUACAGCUGAUGUAGGCCCUCAAAGGUAGUGGCGGACCCUCCCGGAGCCUCCUUUGCGUAGUAACUUUACGUCUCGCACUGGGAUCCGGAGGGACUCUUGCCGUAAAACCCCCAAUUUUCCAAAGGUUGACCUCGGAUCAGGUAGGAAUACCCGCUGAACUUAAGCAUAUCAAUAAGCGGAGGAAAAGAAACCAACAGGGAUUGCCUCAGUAACGGCGAGUGAAGCGGCAACAGCUCAAAUUUGAAAUCUGGCCCUAGGCCCGAGUUGUAAUUUGCAGAGGAUGCUUUUGGUGCGGUGCCUUCCAAGUUCCCUAGAACGGGACGCCAGAGAGGGUGAGAGCCCCGUACAGUUGGACACCAAGCCUUUGUAAAGCUCCUUCGACGAGUCGAGUAGUUUGGGAAUGCUGCUCAAAAUGGGAGGUAUAUUUCUUCUAAAGCUAAAUACCGGCCAGAGACCGAUAGCGCACAAGUAGAGUGAUCGAAAGAUGAAAAGCACUUUGAAAAGAGGGUUAAACAGCACGUGAAAUUGUUAAAAGGGAAGCGCUUGUGACCAGACUUGCGUCCGGUGAAUCACCCAGCUCUCGCGGCUGGGGCACUUCGCCGGCUCAGGCCAGCAUCAGCUCGCUGUCGGGGACAAAAGCUUCAGGAA